rnacentral:tRNA from 1 species
GCUGGCGUAGCUCAGUUGGCAGAGCAGCUGAUUUGUAAUCAGCAGGU